AACAAUAGCCAUACCACCCUGAAUGUGCCUGAUUUCAUCUGAUAUCGGAAGCUAAGCAGGAUUGGGCCUGGUUAGUUUGGAUGGGAGAAAGGCAGCAAAUAACAUAUCAAGUGGCUCCAGUAU
rnacentral:rRNA from 1 species